UACGUAGGUGGCAAGCGUUGUCCGGAAUUAUUGGGCGUAAAGGGCGCGUAGGCGGUGCGGUAAGUCACCUGUGAAAUCUCCUGGCUCAACUGGGAGCUUGCAGGCGAAACUGCCGUGCUGGAGUGUGGGAGAGGUGAGUGGAAUUCCCGGUGUAGCGGUGAAUGCGUAGAUAUGCGGAGGAACACCGAUGGCGAAGGCAAUCCUGGACCUGUACUGACGCUCAUGCACGAAAGCGUGGGAGCAAACAGG
rnacentral:rRNA from 1 species